rnacentral:rRNA from 1 species
GAACCGUACAAACGUUAUUCGGAAUCACUGGGUUUAAAGGGUGCGUAGGCGGCGUGACAAGUUGGGGUGUGAAAUCCCUCGGGCUCAACCGAGGAACUGCGCCCAAAACUGUCAUGCUAGAGGGAGAUAGAGGUGAGCGGAACUAAGGCUGGAGCGGUGAAAUGCGUUGAUAUCCUUAGGAACACCCGUGGCGAAAGCGGCUCACUGGAUCUCUUCUGACGCUGAGGCACGAAAGCUAGGGUAGCGAACGGGAUUAGAUACCCCGGUAGUCCUAGCUGUAAACGAUGAGCACUGGGUUGGAGUCCCCCCCAUAGGAUUCCGGCCGAAGCGAAAGUGUUAAGUGCUCCACCUGGGGAGUAUGGUCGCAAGGCUG